CCGGCACCACGACCUCCCUUUGGGUAGGAGGGGGUACUCUCGGCAACGGAUAUCUCGGCUCUCGCAUCGAUUAAGAACGUAGCGAAAUGCGAUCCCUGGUGUGAAUUGCAGAAUCCCGCGAAACAUCGAGUCUUUCAACGCAAGUUGCGCCCGAGGCCACUUGGCCGAGGGCACGCCUGCCUGGGCAUCACGCCAAACACGCUCCCACGCCUCAUCGGGUUGGGAUGCGGCAUGUGGCCCCCCGUCUAGCAAUAGGCGGUGGGCCAAAGAUGCGGCUGCCGGCAUAUCGUGUCGGACACAGCGCGUGGUGGGCGAACUCGCUUUAGUUACCUCAGUGCUUGACGCUCUGACCGCGACCCCAGGUCAGGCAGGACUACCUGCUGAA
rnacentral:rRNA from 1 species